GACGGAGGAUGCAAGCGUUAUCCGGAAUGAUUGGGCGUAAAGCGUCCGCAGGUGUCAGUUCAAGUCUGCUGUCAAAGACCGGGGCUUAACUUCGGAAAGGCAGUGGAAACUGAACAGCUAGAGUAUGGUAGGGGCAGAGGGAAUUCCUGGUGUAGCGGUGAAAUGCGUAGAGAUCAGGAAGAACAUCGGUGGCGAAGGCGCUCUGCUGGACCAUAACUGACACUCAGGGACGAAAGCUAGGGGAGCGAAUGGG
rnacentral:rRNA from 1 species